UAGCAUUAAGUCCGUGUGUCCCUCCUGUCAACAAGAUGCAGCUUUACUUACUAAGAUUUUUAAAUAUUUCAAGAUUAGUUAUUAAUAUUGUACUACCAAAUGACAGUUGUUUUGUUGAGAACUUGAGAUUGAACAUGUGGUGCACAGGAAGAUCAUUGUUAUUUGAGUCAACCUUUCAAUUAGAAAGUUAUUUGGACACCACAGUGAUAUUAAAGGAAAAAUUCACUUCCUCAAUGCUUUUUAUUAAAGAGUGUUUCUUAUAGCUUUUUGCAAACUAUGGUUUGAUCAUGUGGUUGCACAGUGUGUUCAGUCAGAUGUCUGUUAGAAGGAGGAAGUCAGUUCGGUCUCAAAGAUUUAUCACAGCUCUGAGGAUGUCGAGGAUUGUUUCCUGUCUGUUCUGUAAGACCAUAUUUUUCUUAUCUUAUUUAUUUUACUUUCAUUUGACAAUAAAUUAAGUGUCUCAUGGAUUCUUCUGUUUUUUAGGUGUCUUAAGACUGUGUGUUGGUGCUGAGGCUUUGACAGAGACACUGGUAGAGCUUGGACACAAUGCAACCCUGAACUGUUCUCUUAAUGUAAAUAAUGUACACUGGUACCUACAUCGCCACCCACAGCCUCCACUGGCCAUACUCCGCUCUUUCACUAGUAGUAGUCCUGCUGCUUUUUAUUACAAUAAUACUACUUUUAGACAGAAAUAUUCAUUAGAAACAGGAAAUCGAUUGUUAAUACAGAAUGUAACAGUAGAUGAUUGUGGAGUGUUCUACUGUGCAAAGAAAGAAAACGAUAAUCUCCUAUUCAGUAAUGGCACCAGACUCAUGACCACUGGUAAGGGCACAUUUCAUUUAAUCACCAACAUUUUCUAUUUUGUCGAAAAUAUACUUUUGAAAUAUGUUUUUGUUCAUGUUUAACGCAGCUAGGUGCAAGACCACUACAGAAAUGUUACGUCCACUUUGAGUACCAUAACUCAAAGUGGAUGUAGGCUAUAAAUGUUUUCCAUAACCCUGCAGAUCUUGAAUCAAUCAAUGAAACAACAAACACAAGUGUGAAGCUCCGUAAGUGAUUAUGUUUGACCCUGAAGCAACAGAGCAACCCAGAGACGUCAACACAACAUGGCUAAAGGGUCUUCUCAUUGGAUCCGGGGUCUUGAAUGCAGUGCUCAUUUUAUUGCUGUCAGCCAUUUCAGUGCUGUGGAAGAGAGCUGCUUGCCAGAAGAACCAUGACUCUCCUCCAACCCCUGAACCACUUGAAAGGGCAGACAGUCUAGUGUAUGAAGUGAUACAGCUGGUACCCCCACCAAGAGGACUAAGGCCCGACCGCAUAGCCUCAACUAUUUACUCCAGAGUCCAAUUUCCAAAUCCUGAACUCACAACUACUGCUUAAUAAGGUGCCACAUCUUGACUUUGGUGGAGAAUGUGAAUCUACUCUGAUUAUUCCUAUAUUUAUAUAAUGUACCAAAUGCUGCUCUUCGUCACUCGUCUAUAUACCAGUUAGCAAUAUCUUUGAAGGAAAUUAUUACUUUUGUCUUGAUUCAUGUUUUUCAUUGUUCAUUGCUGGAAAUAAGUGUUCAUUUGUCUUAAAAGUAAAUUGUAACUUUUUUGUCAAGCAGUUAGGAAGGGGUUUGUGUAUUUCUGUAAAAAAAAAAAAAACAAGCCUUUUGUAGUGUAUUGAUGCUGCAUCAACCACACAUAUCCUGUUUGAGAGCUUAGUCGCUUACUGAGCAGCACGCAUGUCCCAAUUACUGUACAAUUGACCAUUUUUAACAAUGACUUUUUCAAACAUUAAACUAGAGUUUUGAAUUUUAAGUUCAUUAAAAAGCCUACUGCAUGUGCCCCAUAACACCUUUGUGAGUAGAAGGUAGUGGUUUGUCUAUUUUAGUUGUUUAAGUUCUGUCACGAUCGUCGUUAGGUGAAAGAGGACCAAGGCGCAGCGUGAUAUAAAUACAUCUUUUUAAUAGAAGAAGAAACGAACACUAAUACAAACUAGACAAACCAACAAGAAGCUAUCAAACGAAAGUGCAGACACAAGCAACUAACGUCAAGACAUAGACAAUUACCCACAACCUACCUAAUGCCUAUGGCUGCCUAAAUAUGGCUCUCAGAGACAACGAUAGACAGCUGUCUCUAAUUGAGAACCAAUCCAGGCAACCAUAGACUUACAUAAACACCUACACUGAACACAACCCCAUGAACUCUACAAAACCCCCUAGACAAUACAAACACCCAAAACUAGACAAAAACACACAAACAUCCCCCAUGUCACACCCUGACCUAACUAAAAUAAUAAAGAAAACUAAGAUAACUAAGGCCAGGGCAUGAAAAGUUCAGACCACUGUAAGAAAGGUAAUGUCAGUGUAUUGCACUUUUUUCAAACAUCUCAGUGUUCACUCUUCAUGGAAAUAAAAUCUGUUUUGGAAUAAACCACCUCUUAUCUGAGGUACUCUACCUA